GAACGGAAGUACUCAUACAUCUUUACUUCCUCCCCAUUCCGACUCGCGUGAGUCUGUGUGUGUUCGUCUGUGUGUUUUGGGCUCUGCAUCGGCGAUAUAUAUAUAUAUACACACAUAGUUAUUUAUUUACAUUUGCGAGGCGACGGCGUACGGCUCAGGAAAGGGGUGCAGUAGGAGGUGCGUUUUCUCUUUUCCCUCUUCUCAUUCUCUCCUCCUGAGUGAGUGAGUGAGUGCUUGUUUAUGUGUGUGCUCGUGUGGCAGAGUAUACACACACGAACGCACGCACACACAGAAAAAAAAAAGAAACCAAGCAUAUAGGGGCGUAACGUCGACGCAAGACAACGAGGGAUCCGAGGGAACAGACGAAGACACAAGGCCGCAUCUACAUAAGUAACUCCCCCCUCACCCCCCCCCCCGAAAAAAAUUGAAAGUUCACAGCGCGUGUUUACGGCUGUGCAGUUGUGUUGGUGUUUACGUGGGUGCGUGCUGUGGUAGCAGAACGUUCUCCUACAGUUUGCUCACAAACCGCGCAGCUCCUGCCCGCCUUGCCCUCUUCCUCCUCUCCUGACCCCUCAGUCACGUGGCCCCCGCUCUCUAGGCUGUUUCUCCUUUUUUUUCGUGACGAGACGUAGAUCACGCGGGGGUUUUCCUCUUCAGCUCUUUGUGUGUGUGUGCGUGUCUGUGUUUGUGCCCGCCACGCAUCCUCCGAUCGCGUCUGUGGCGCUCUUCUCUCUGCGUUUAUGUCUGCAGCGCUUUCAUAGAGGACACUUUUACUUCUUUGUUUGUGCCUCUCUCUGUUUUUCUUUUUUGUUUCUGUGCUUUCCUUGGCGUGGCGCCCGCCUUUCACCCGGCACUUUUCGUUUUUUUUCUGCUUUAUUGUGUUUUGCCGCUCCUCUUUCUCUGUGUCGCUCUUCCCAUCUUCUGCCACCUUUUUCCCCGCCUCCGCCGACACUCUCCUCCUCCUCCCCCUCCUUCCGGUCUCCUCGUGUGCCUUUUGUGGGAGCACCCGUGCUGUUAGUUUUCUGUUUUGUUUUAACCUUUUCUGUGCCUCUUUUUUAUUUGAAACGGAAUCUCCUCAGUCGUGUGGAGUUGCGUUGGCGCACGAAAACUAUAUGUUGGCUGUCUUCGUUUUUUUUGUAUUUUCGUGCCCUCAUGUGUGUGCUCUCUUUGCGUUUUUUUUCCAUUUUGCUUUACUUCCUUCUUCCUCUUCGUUGUUGUUGCCCGUGUGGGGGUUCGUUUAUUUCACUCCCUGCCCGUUUACGCUUCGUCCCUGCUUUUCCGACCGCCCUCUCUCGUCCCCUUUUCGGUGUCGUCGCGCUGUGCUAGAUCUCUCUCUCUCUUCUUUUUUCUUGUUACUGCUACGUGUUCCCUCCCACCUCACGUUUGCCAUCGAUUGAGUUGCCAUCCGGUGCUGUGUCUUCUGUUUUGCUCCUGCGGUGUGCACUCCUCCGAAAAGCCCUUCUACCGUAGACGUGGAAAGCUAACUGUCGGACGUGCCAGCUAGCUGCUCUUUAGGACUUCGACAACUUCAUCACGUCACACUUGGUUUCUCGUCUUUCGUGCCCGUCGGCACCCUAACGUUAUCCCACAGAUUGCGCAUCUCGGGAUCCUGGCAGUGCGUGUGCGUGGCAUAAGCGCUGGUGGUGAGGUGACUAGCUAAAGACAGAAUAAAGGACGUGGCGAAGCAACCUCGUGCGCACUGGCAAGCCCAACAGCACGGGAAAGACGCAGGUAGACGGUAUUGUGAAGGUAAAGAGCAAGUUUUCACAGCGCAGACGUGCGGCGGUGUUGGUUUGCUUAGGAAUUUGCGUGUGCGUGUGCUUUCUUUGCUGUGGGUGGUGUCGCCGUGUUUUUUGUUAUUGCUCACGAUUGUAAGUCGGACCAGAAAGUCGAAGUAUGCGGAGUGAGACGAUCAUGAGGCGCGCGCACCGUCAUGCCAGCGGGCAUGGAAUGGGCGGCGUCAUGAGCAGCACCAGCGCGACAGUCGUCCCGGCAGCAGAGUUAGCGGACGCAGAGGCAGAAAAACUGUCGAGCGCGGAUCGUAGUGGCGGCAACGGCACGAGCAACUGCAACGAUGCGGCGAAGCAGGCGACGGUGCUGGAGCGUUUGUGGAGACCAGUGGAGUGCGUCCUAAUGGACAUCUGCUACGCGAUUGAUGAUCGGUUCAUUAUUCCACAGAACAUCACUGCUGUGCCGGCGCUCAUAGAAGAAGAGUUCACUCACCGGCAGGGGUUUUUUAUGCUUCUGGGACACUUUAUCUCGAUCUCAACUCUCAUGGUGUUUGCCGCCUACUCCCGCCGCCUGAGCAACCUGGUGAGUGGGGCGUCGCCAGUGAUGGGUGAGAUUCUGUUUUGCGUGUCGCACCUCUCUCAAGUGACUCAAGAGCAGCUAGGCUGGAGUCUGUUCUGCACUGGCUUCCUGUCACCCAGCACUUUUGAGUGGGCAACGACGGAAAGCGGCAUCAGUGGCGGUGUGGCGAUAUUGGGCGGGGCAGGCAGCCCAGGCUCCAAGCGGCAGAUGCUCGGAGCCAAUGGCGGUGGCGGAUUUGGCGCCAGCGGCGCGUCAGCCGGUGGGUCGCAGGGCUCGACUGGCAUGGGCGGUGGUAGUGCCGGGGGCAUCGCGGGCUGUCCGUACACAGGUGGGAACCUGGUGCGGUACUUGUUGGGGCGCAAGGCUAACAGCAUGAUUCGCCAAGAAUCGUUGCGAUCGUACCUGUACUCUAGCUUUUACUCGCCGUCGGCAUUCUUGGCGGAGCAGACGGUGUGGUUUGUCCUGUUGGCGGCGACAAUGGAUCUGGUCUCCAUGCAGCGGCUAGCCGUGGCAGCCUUCUUCGCAAACGUUGUGGGAUGGCUGCCAGUGUACUCUGUCAAGUCGUUGGCCGGGCUGGGGGUGGCUCUGGUGGUGGUGUUCAUGUAUUGGAUUCCGUCGUCGGAGGUGGAUGACGCCGUUCUCUCCGUCACAUUUUUGCAGCGCCCCAUGCACCGCUUGCUCUCUGCCUACUGCGCCUCCCUCUGCAUCACUCUCUUGUUUGCCGAGACGCUCCUGCUGGAAGACGUGCGACGGGUGAUCGUUCAUGCUGUCUUUACGCUGCCGCAGCGGCUGCUGCGCGUCGGCGGACAUCACCCGGUCGUUGCAAAGAUCGUGCAUGGGUGCGCGUGGCUGCGGUGCGAGUAUUUUUAUUUCGUCGACUUUUACUUUUUCUUGGGGAUGAUGUGUUGGCUGUCACUCGUCUUAAUGGAGACGGCGGCGGGCAUCUCGGUUUUCGGCACUGCGGCGUUGUUAACUGCGGUUCCGUGGCUGGUCGGCAGCGGGUGGAGGGAGACGCCGAUGCAGGCGCUCAAGGACACGGUUAUUUAUGUUGGUUUCUACGUGGUAGUGGCGAUUCUGCUCGCCCACGUCGUGCCGUGGAGCGGGUUGGCAUUCUUGUCUAAUGCCAUGCAGUCAGGUGCAGUGUUGUUUCUCAUGGCGGCGCGCUGCGAGUGCAAGCAGCCGGGCGGGAGCGCGUACGUGCUGCUGUGGGUGGCGAUGAUGUGCGUUUACCUCUACCUGAAGGCUGGGGCGAUGCGCGGGACGACGGGCUCAUCGACGCGGAGCCUGUACGACUCAAACCCUCGCGCCAACUUUGCGAAGGCGGCGUACGCUGUGUGGUGCGGCGGGCCGGAGACGGAAGAGGGGGCGCUCAGCCUGCUUCGCAGUGCGUGCAUCACUUUCUGGCAACUUCUCUCCAAAGGUUUGAGCGAAGAGGGCAUUCAAGUGCUGCACUUCAACGUAGUCGUUCUCGGCUCGAUGCUGCUGUUUUCCACUACAGUGCGCGCCGUGGUCGUGGAGGGCGUACGCUUCUCGAGCCCUGGACCAGCGGUAUCAACCUCAGCGGAGGCCACAGCCACACCCGCCGCGGCAUUGGCAGCUUCCUCCGUGUCGCUUUUGCCGACGAGCACAACCGCUGCUUCGGCGAAAGGCGAUCACAACGGUGGCGCUGCCCAAGCCUUGGCAGGGCGUCAGUGCUGCUUCCGUAGCGUAUUAAACGGCUCCCACUGUAGUGCGCCCACGUCCUCGUCAUGUGCGAAAAGCAGAGCCGCGGCACAUGUUGUCGGUGCAAAGGCUUCGUCGUCGUCGACUGCAAGCAUCAUGAGGCGCUCAUGGCAAGCGCCAACUCAUGCUGCAGCCGCUGCGAUUGACGCCUGCGGCAGAGGCAAGUGCAGUGAUGGUGUUGCAGCACCAGAGGAGGGCGGAUCGGAGGAGAGUGUGGCAGAGGCACUUGUAGAGAUGGAAAAGAUGAUCGAGGAGGCAAAGGAGGCCACCAGAGAAGUGUGGUUUGUUGCACAAGGAGUAGACGAGCAACCAGCCUGGCCAGCGCCUCCGGCCGCCACAGGUGUGUCGCCUGUCGAGGAUGAGGAAGCGCCGGCGGCGUUAGAGGAAGAGACGGAGAUGCCAGCGGCGCCGCUAACUUCGACGUCGAGUCCAAGUAUGUCGAAGCGCGAGGACAAUCAGAAGGAGCAGCGGCCACAGCUGUCCACCGCGUCGUUGACCCAGAACCCGGCAUCGGUAGACUCGGUGGACGAGGCUGUGAGGGAGGAAAAUGAGAAGACGCCUCCUGAGCCGAUCAGUGGUCUCGACAGCAAGAAAACGGAGGUGGCGUCAACCGUGUUUCCGAGAGACGAGAGCGACCUCAUCCAGCAUGCGUCGCGGAGCGCAUCCCUUGAGGAGAUUGUCAACUGCACCGCCACAUCUUUCACCUCAACAAUGUGCCGCUCCGACAUGAGCUCAGCCAUACUAUCCAGCUUUCGCCACGAGAAAGCCGCAUCGCUCACGAGCCGCAGCUCGACAGCCGCGGAGACACCGCUGGAAACUCGUCGCGAGCGGCAGGAGCGGGAACGCGAAAAGGAUGGACGAUACGAGCGAGAGCGCGUCAAGACACCGGCAUCCACGGCCUCCUGUGCCUCGGCUUUGCCGUUUCCGGCGACAAAGGCGCAGCGAGAGGAAGCUCAGACGCCGCCGCAGCAGCGGACAUCCAAGUCGUCAGGGGGGCAGAAGACGUCUACAGACACCGAAACACCGACCGCUGCGUCCUCGGCGCCCGCUCUUCCACUGCCGCGCUCCCAUACGGAGAGCCUAAAAAAGGCCGCGGAGACUCCGAUGAGUCCCCUGGUGACCAGCCGCCAGACGGCUGUGACAGAGAGUAUGGAGUUGGUGCGGUCGAAGAACUCAGGAGCGGACGCUAGGACAACAGCAGCUUCUGCCGCGAAAGCAGCACGCUUAACAGAAUCGACGGCGUUGGCCGGUGCUGCCUCGGCUGCUGCGGGGGUCGGGGUGGGGGCCAAGAAGGACAAGGGCAAGGCGGCCAGAGACAAUGGCGAGGGCAAGAAGGCCGACGGCAAGGUGAAGAUGGCCGCGGACAAGAGCAGCACGAACAGCAAAGCUGUGACUGAGCCAUCUCCAGGGGACGCGAAAGCGGUGGAGUCGGCUGCCGCUAGCGGGCCCGUUACGUUCCCGCUUCCGAAGCCGCGCCACGAGCACAAGUCAGCGGGCGAGGCUGUCGCCACCGCAACCGCGAAGGCACCGGCCGCCGCAGCCAAAGGUGCAGCUGGAGACGCGGCGGGUGGUGAAAAGCGAGGCAGCCACAAAGCCGCCCCAUUCUCCAUGCCGGAAAACGCGGGCGCGGCAGCUGCAAAGAAGGCCGCCGCCGCUGCCGCAGCACCACCCCAGAUCUCGGCCUCGGCACCAGCACCCACGGCGUCGUCGUCAUCGUCUGUCGCGACGGCACCGGCGGUGCUGCCAUUGCCGUUACCGCGCUCAGUACAGGCAGCUGAAACUGACAGUGCGGCAGGGGCUGCUCAGACAUCACCGGCAAGCGGCGAGCAACCCCAUGAGGUGCCGUUACAGCAGGCCUUGCGCGACUUGCGGUGGGCAAGCGCAGCUUCACACGUGACACCAGCUGCUGGUACGGAUGGGUCUGGCCAGGUGUCGGCGAGUGGGCCGAAGCAUGACGUCAAGAGUAAACCCUCCGCCGCGGCGGCUGCCGAUGAUGCAGAAGAGUCCGACGUCAGCUACGACCUGGUCCGUGCACUCAACUUCCUCAGACUAAAAAUAAACUACGCAGCCGGUGUGGACGAUGGUGACGACGAUGACGGAAGCAGCUCGACGGUGUCGAAUGCGGACUGCCGGCACAACCCUACGUCCUUUCUUCACUCGGACUCACCAGAGCACUCGACAACGACACCGAAGCGCUCGCUGUCGAAUGCGCCCGAGGUGAAGUUGGGCGUAUCUGCAGCAGCUGACUUGGGAGUCGAUGCGAACGUGUCUCGCACGGUGCCUCAGCGGACUGACGAGGCUGGUGCUGCGCACGAGUCAUUCGCGCUGGCGCAACCGUCAAAGAACGAGUCACUGAUGAGCACCCCGCAGCGCGUCUCCCAGGCGAUUCAAUCAGUGUCCGAGUGGACGGCCAAGAGCAGAAGCGGCUUCGGCGACUGCCGAACGGACUCCUUCGCCUCUACAAAUCACAACAGCGCUAACUCUAGCGGCAACUGCGCUCUACACGACCGCAGGUCUCCUGUCUUUCACGUCUUCUCCACUCACCCGAACGCGGCAGUUGCUGCGACGGCAGCCGAGAGCUCCUUGUCCCCGCACCCGCGGCCGGUGCACAUGGACGUGGCGUCGCACGGCAGCGAACUGCUGCCUUCUGAGAUGGUGGAGAGCGGCAUGGAAUUGUCGGCAGCUACGCGGUACAUGGACUUUAACGCUGCCUGCUCCUCGCUGGGGCACUACCAGGUGCCGCAGAUCGUUGCGCCGCCUUCGCCGCCGUUGGAGUCGCGGCAGUCGUCCUCCUCGCACAUGCCAUUCAGUGUUUCUACCUUCAACCACAGCGGAUCACAGAUGUCGUCGAUGUCGAGCAUCGGGCGAUCCAACUCCGACACUGCAGGCGAUCGGAGCUCGGUGCUCCCUCGCAUGCGAGGCGCGCCAAAUGGCCGGGUGUCGGUGAUUGAGCAGAUGGCAACGCAAAAGACGCAACAGAGCGUUUCUGUUGCUGACACGAUGCAGCAGAUGCAGUUUGGUGCGUCGAGCAUGCAGCAGGCGAUGAUGGUGAUGAUGCGCGCCCCGGAUGGACAGAUGGCCUUGUACCCGAUGGUGUACAACCAGCCGGUGUACAUGGCGGACGCGAACGGGGUGAUGCAGCCCGCGCAGAGUGUCCAGAUGACUUCUCAUCCGCCGCCACAGCAGCAGCAGAUCGUAUACGCUGCUGCCGCACCGUCGCCGGGGCAGGCGGUAGAGGUUGCCUACCACAUCGCACCUGACGGCUCGUACAUGAUGACAGCGAUUCCUCAGAUGCCGCAGCAGAUGAUGGGCCAGUAUCAGCAGCAGCAAGAGCCAUAUCAGCGGUUUGGACGUGAAUAGCUGAAGCCGGAAGGUCAAGUCGAGCGUGCCCUCUGCGCAUGCACGCGAGCGUACGAUGUUUUCACGUUGUAGAGCACGAGUGGGCGUUUCGUGGCGUCUGAGAGUUAUUAUUCUCCAUACUAACGUGCAUGUGUGUGUGUGUGUGUGCGUCUGAAAGUUCUUGUCUGGAAUCGAUAGCGACCACGCGCAAACUUGCUUUUUCUUUUUUUCGUAGGGGACGGUCUCGGCGUCGACUUCCAACACUCCUGAACUCAGCACAGGACAAACACGGAGGGCUGCUAUUUCCGCUCUCCCUCCCACCACCCCAUUCUCCAUUGCCAAAAGAGGCGUAUAGCAGCGCUCUACCCGUCGCUUACAGUAACUUCAAUGCAGUGGAGUACUGCCGGGGCACAAGGGAGAAAACGCCGCGUUAAAGGUAUACAUUUUUGUUUUCUGCAUGCUUGAGUCUACAGGGUUUUUUUUCUUCGCGCGUAUGCGCCGAGAGCACACCUGGCGGCGGCGAACGUGAAACCACAGAGGAAGCACAGAAAUCUGGAGAAAGGUGCGAGUGGGUGGAUCGCCUCUGAGGUGUUCCCUGUUGUGCGUCGCUGAUCAUUCCGUCUUCUGUUUCAACUAGGGGACAGUACAAGCAACCUGCACACCUACUCCAAAGGAUUAACAAGAAAAGUUUAACACCGCCAUAUCUUACUUUGCCAUCCCCUCACCGCGACUACUCUCGUUGCGUGUCGCCUUGAGCUUUCUUGUUCCCCCACCUUAGCAUCGCCAGCAACGAACGUACGGCACAAAUUUCCUGGGUGGAACUUCUCCAGACAUUGCAUCUGAAUAUUUUCAUGCUGCAGGUUGGUGCACCGUGUCGAACUUGACGGUGCCCAUGCGGCGCCAACCUGUUAACAACGCCAG
rnacentral:misc_RNA from 1 species